AAUUCUAGAGCUAAUACAUGCAAACAGAGCUCCGACCGGAGACGGAAGGAGUGCUUUUAUUAGAUCAAAACCAAUCGGUGGCGAGUUCGCUCGUCAUCGUACAACUUGGUGACUCUGAAUAACUUUACGCUGAUCGCACGGUCUCGCACCGGCGACGCAUCUUUCAAAUGUCUGCCUUAUCAACUGUCGAUGGUAGGUUCUGCGCCUACCAUGGUUGUAACGGGUAACGGGGAAUCAGGGUUCGAUUCCGGAGAGGGAGCCUGAGAAACGGCUACCACAUCCAAGGAAGGCAGCAGGCGCGCAAAUUACCCACUCCCGGCACGGGGAGGUAGUGACGAAAAAUAACGAUACGGG
rnacentral:rRNA from 1 species